rnacentral:rRNA from 1 species
UGAUGCAGCAACGCCGCGUGAGCGAUGAAGGCCUUCGGGUUGUAAAGCUCUGUCUUCGCUGAAGAACAUGACGGUAAGCGAGGAGGAAGCCACGGCUAACUACGUGCCAGCAGCCGCGGUAAUACGUAGGUGGCAAGCGUUGUCCGGAAUUAUUGGGCGUAAAGGAUGCGUAGGUGGUCUUUUAAGUGGGAUGUGAAAUCCCUGGGCUUAACCCAGGAACUGCAUUCCAAACUGAAAGACUAGAGUGCAGGAGAGGAAAGUGGAAUUCCUAGUGUAGCGGUGAAAUGCGUAGAGAUUAGGAGGAACACCAGUGGCGAAGGCGACUUUCUGGACUGUAACUGACACUGAGGCAUGAAAGCGUGGGGAGCAAACAGGAUUAGAUACCCUGGUAGUCCACGCCGUAAACGAUGAGUACUAGGUGUAGGGGGUCGAACCUCUGUGCCGCAGUUAACACAUUAAGUACUCCGCCUGGGAAGUACGAUCGCAAGAUUA